rnacentral:rRNA from 1 species
CGGAGGCAGCAGUGGGGAAUUUUGGACAAUGGGCGAAAGCCUGAUCCAGCCAUUCCGCGUGAGUGAAGAAGGCCUUCGGGUUGUAAAGCUCUUUCGGCAGGAACGAAACGGUGAGGUCUAAUACACCUUACUAAUGACGGUACCUGAAGAAGAAGCACCGGCUAACUACGUGCCAGCAGCCGCGGUAAUACGUAGGGUGCGAGCGUUAAUCGGAAUUACUGGGCGUAAAGCGUGCGCAGGCGGUUUCGUAAGUCAGAUGUGAAAGCCCCGGGCUUAACCUGGGAAUUGCGUUUGAAACUGCGAGGCUAGAGUGUGUCAGAGGGGGGUAGAAUUCCACGUGUAGCAGUGAAAUGCGUAGAGAUGUGGAGGAAUACCGAUGGCGAAGGCAGCCCCCUGGGAUAACACUGACGCUCAUGCACGAAAGCGUGGGGAGCAAACAGGAUUAGAUACCCCGGU